rnacentral:rRNA from 1 species
UGGGGAAUUUUGGACAAUGGGCGCAAGCCUGAUCCAGCCAUUCCGCGUGCAGGACGAAGGCCUUCGGGUUGUAAACUGCUUUUGUACGGAACGAAAAGCCCUUCUCUAAUACAAGGGGCUAAUGACGGUACCGUAAGAAUAAGCACCGGCUAACUACGUGCCAGCAGCCGCGGUAAUACGUAGGGUGCGAGCGUUAAUCGGAAUUACUGGGCGUAAAGCGUGCGUAGGCGGUUAUAUAAGACAGUUGUGAAAUCCCCGGGCUCAACCUGGGAACUGCAUUUGUGACUGCAUAGCUGGAGUGCGGCAGAGGGGGAUGGAAUUCCGCGUGUAGCAGUGAAAUGCGUAGAUAUGCGGAGGAACACCGAUGGCGAAGGCAAUCCCCUGGGCCUGCACUGACGCUCAGGCACGAAAACGUGGGGAGCAAACA